rnacentral:tRNA from 1 species
AGAAAUUUAGGUUAAUACCAAACCGAGGGCCUUCAAAGCCCUAAAUAGAGAAUAAACUUCCCUAAUUUCUG